AUCUAGUUAUCAAACGAUCAUUCAGACAAAAUGUAUGUUCUUAAUGAAGCUACCGCUCAGUUAUCGCGAGUAUAACAAGAGCAGUUCUGAUGCAAUAUUGUCAACAUUUCUUUGGAUGUCGAUUUGUCCAUUGUUCUAGUAAUGCAGUCAAAAGUUCAUUCUGAAGCUGAGUUCACUAGGUUUGGCACAAAUCAUUCCGGGACGUACAUCUUGUUAUUAAAGGAUCACUCUGACAAAAUGUAUGUUCUUAAUGAAGCUAUCGCUCAGUUAUCGCGAUUACGACACGAGCAAUUCCGAAUCAAUAUUCUUUGGAUGUCGAUCGGUCUUUGGUCAUAUAUUACUUUCCUAUUAACUGUAUCAAAUCUCUACAAAACUUUCAAUUCAAAGCUUAGCACCUUCAAUGUCCACUAAAUUUCUCGAAAUUUCUUUUCAGUCCGCCCACCUAUAAUUCAUUUAAAUAGUAUUCCUUCAUUGAAGAGUGUUUGAAUUGUAUAAAAGGAUAGUUGAAAUUGGUUUGUUGGCACCCAUUUGUUGUAAAGUUUCGUUGUUUAUGCAUUUAUUAUAAAUUGUAUGUAAGUAUGUCUAGUUAAAUGACUGUCGGUCUGUCGUUCGGUUGGUUGGUUAGUUGGUCGGUCGGUGACUUUGUAUUUAUCCAAUUCGGAUACAGAUUAUUUUCUUUUACACUUUUUUUUCUCAGCUUUUAUUUUUUGCAUCCAUAAACUACGACAUCGGCAACAUACAACUUUGAAAGUCUUUCAUAAGUUUGUGUGUUGUUGGUGGUGGUGGUGGCAACAAAUGUUUGUAUGUAGCUCUGCUAUUGCUUUAGAUAUUGCUGCUGCUGUUGUUGUUGAUGCUCAUCAAAUGCUGCGUUUUUAAAUGGUACUCAAAAUGUAUAAACUUUCAUCUCGUAUCACACAAUCCGCCAAACAGCAUCAACAAAAAUACAUUCCGGUAUUUGCAGCAGUAUCUCUACUAACUAGCAUUUUCGAGUCGGUUCUUUUAAAUUUUUUUUUAAAUUUUUUUGGUUGAUUGUUGUUGUUUUUGUCGUCGCCGACAAUUUUAGCAUCAUCAUCGUCACUGGCAAUGAUGCUUUACUUACAAUACCCUGCCGUUUGUGUUGGAGUUGUUGCUAUCGUCGUCGUAGAUGUUGUUUAUCCCCAAGAUUAACAGAUAAAAGUAACAAUAUUUCAUAAAAAAGCAACAAAACGUAUUAAAAGAAAAUACAAAAACUAAAAAAAAGUAACAAAAGAAAAAAGUGAAUAAAAGUGCAUUAUUUUGUGUAUGUAUCUGAGUUGAAAUUUUUUUCUCUCUACUUUUGCAAAAAAAAAUCACAUUUAAACGAGAUACAUGAACUUUGAGUGUUUAUUAUUAUCUUAGAUAAAAGGUAUACAAAAGGAAAAAAGUACUAAAUUGAAUAAUAAUUUGAACUUAAAAAUCUGAGAUUUUAACAAAACAAUUUUAAAAUAUUUUUUUUUUUAAAUUGUGGAGUUUAUUAAUUACUUAAUGCAAAUUUGUUCGUGUGGGGUUUUAUUGCUUUAGAAAGUACCGCUCCGAAAUGUAGACGUUUAAAGUCUUAGUUUAUCAUCAAGCCCCGAUGUGGCAAGUAUGAUCUUGAGGAAAUUAUUGGUGAGUAUUAAAGAAAUGCCUAAUUAUAAGAUUAACACUAUGUACUAUGUAUGUCUUAAGUUUAUUUUUAUUUUAUUUUAUUUUAUUUAUUUAUUUAUUUAUUCAAAAACAAUGGCCGUAAGCCGAUAGGGCCUAAUUGGCUAGUCUACAAUUAAAUAUACUUAUAAUACAAAAAUAUUAUUGGUACAUUAUUUAGUAAGAAAAUAUAACAUAUAUUUAUAAUUUUUUUAA